CAGCCGCCGCGGUAAUACGAAGGGUGCAAGCGUUAAUCGGAAUUACUGGGCGUAAAGCGUGCGUAGGCGGUGAGUUAAGUCUGCUGUGAAAUCCCCGGGCUCAACCUGGGAAUGGCAGUGGAUACUGGCUCGCUAGAGUGUGUCAGAGGAUGGUGGAAUUCCCGGUGUAGCGGUGAAAUGCGUAGAGAUCGGGAGGAACAUCAGUGGCGAAGGCGGCCAUCUGGGACAACACUGACGCUGAGGCACGAAAGCGUUGGGAGCAAACAGGAUUAGAGACCCCCGUAGUCCCUGUCUCUUAUAC
rnacentral:rRNA from 1 species